rnacentral:rRNA from 1 species
CACUAUCGUUAACUGAAUACAUAGGUUAACGAGGCGAACCGGGGGAACUGAAACAUCUAAGUACCCCGAGGAAAAGAAAUCAACCGAGAUUCCCCCAGUAGCGGCGAGCGAACGGGGAGCAGCCCAGAGUCUGAAUCAGCUUGUGUGUUAGUGGAACGGUCUGGAAAGUCCGACGGUACAGGGUGAUAGUCCCGUACACCAAAAUGCACAGGUUGUGAACUCGAAGAGUAGGGCGGGACACGUGGUAUCCUGUCUGAAUAUGGGGGGACCAUCCUCCAAGGCUAAAUACUCCUGACUGACCGAUAGUGAACCAGUACCGUGAGGGAAAGGCGAAAAGAACCCCGGCGAGGGGAGUGAAAAAGAACCUGAAACCGUGUACGUACAAGCAGUGGGAGCACCUUCGGGUGUGACUGCGUACCUUUUGUAUAAUGGGUCAGCGACUUAUAUUCUGUAGCAAGGUUAACCGUAUAGGGGAGCCGCAGGGAAACCGAGUCUUAACUGGGCGUUAAGUUGCAGGGUAUAGACCCGAAACCCGGUGAUCUAGCCAUGGGCAGGUUGAAGGUUGGGUAACACUAACUGGAGGACCGAACCGACUAAUGUUGAAAAAUUAGCGGAUGACUUGUGGCUGGGGGUGAAAGGCCAAUCAAACCGGGAGAUAGCUGGUUCUCCCCGAAAGCUAUUUAGGUAGCGCCUCGUGAAUUCAUCUUCGGGGGUAGAGCACUGUUUCGGCUAGGGGGUCAUCCCGACUUACCAACCCGAUGCAAACUACGAAUACCGAAGAAUGUUAUCACGGGAGACACACGGCGGGUGCUAACGUCCGUCGUGAAGAGGGAAACAACCCAGACCGCCAGCUAAGGUCCCAAAGUCAUGGUUAAGUGGGAAACGAUGUGGGAAGGCACAGACAGCCAGGAUGUUGGCUUAGAAGCAGCCAUCAUUUAAAGAAAGCGUAAUAGCUCACUGGUCGAGUCGGCCUGCGCGGAAGAUGUAACGGGGCUAAACCAUGCACCGAAGCUGCGGCAGCGACACUAUGUGUUGUUGGGUAGGGGAGCGUUCUGUAAGCCUGCGAAGGUGACCUGUGAGGGUUGCUGGAGGUAUCAGAAGUGCGAAUGCUGACAUAAGUAACGAUAAAGCGGGUGAAAAGCCCGCUCGCCGGAAGACCAAGGGUUCCUGUCCAACGUUAAUCGGGGCAGGGUGAGUCGACCCCUAAGGCGAGGCCGAAAGGCGUAGUCGAUGGGAAACAGGUUAAUAUUCCUGUACUUGGUGUUACUGCGAAGGGGGGACGGAGAAGGCUAUGUUAGCCGGGCGACGGUUGUCCCGGUUUAAGCAUGUAGGCGGAGGUUCCAGGUAAAUCCGGUACCUUUUAACGCUGAGGUGUGAUGACGAGGCACUACGGUGCUGAAGUAACAAAUGCCCUGCUUCCAGGAAAAGCCUCUAAGCAUCAGGUAACAUUAAAUCGUACCCCAAACCGACACAGGUGGUCAGGUAGAGAAUACCAAGGCGCUUGAGAGAACUCGGGUGAAGGAACUAGGCAAAAUGGUGCCGUAACUUCGGGAGAAGGCACGCUGGUGUGUAGGUGAAGUCCCUGCGGACGGAGCUGAGACCAGUCGAAGAUACCAGCUGGCUGCAACUGUUUAUUAAAAACACAGCACUGUGCAAACACGAAAGUGGACGUAUACGGUGUGACGCCUGCCCGGUGCCGGAAGGUUAAUUGAUGGGGUUAUCCGUAAGGAGAAGCUCUUGAUCGAAGCCCCGGUAAACGGCGGCCGUAACUAUAACGGUCCUAAGGUAGCGAAAUUCCUUGUCGGGUAAGUUCCGACCUGCACGAAUGGCGUAAUGAUGGCCAGGCUGUCUCCACCCGAGACUCAGUGAAAUUGAACUCGCUGUGAAGAUGCAGUGUACCCGCGGCAAGACGGAAAGACCCCGUGAACCUUUACUAUAGCUUGACACUGAACAUUGAGCCUUGAUGUGUAGGAUAGGUGGGAGGCUUUGAAGCGUGGACGCCAGUCUGCGUGGAGCCAACCUUGAAAUACCACCCUUUAAUGUUUGAUGUUCUAACGU